AGAGAAGUCAGAAUUUUUUUAAAAAUCUAGCUUGAAGGGAUCCUAGAUACUCCCCUUGGAGAUAAUUUGCAAAUUAGGAAACAAACAAACAAAAAAAAAAGUGGGAGAAAGAGGAGACUCUUCUAAAAAUUCAUUCAUGCAACUUUUGUUUACUUACAAAGCACAUUCAGUGAUCAUCAGUACCAAGCUGCUAGAGUGUUUACAAAGAUUAGUUAUAUUUAGUAUCUAGCCUCAAGGACUCUAUUGUCAUUUCAACUUUGUUCUAAGGAUGCUUUGAAUCAGGAAAAUUGCCCCAGAAAGGGCUUCAUUCCGUCUAGUCUUUUUGUUAGUAAAAUUUAAAUCUGAGGCUUUUUUGGGCAAAAGUGACUCAGCUAACAAUUAGG
rnacentral:lncRNA from 1 species